rnacentral:rRNA from 1 species
UGAAAAUCGGACUUAGUGAUCCGGUGGUUCUGCGUGGAAGGGCCAUCGCUCAACGGAUAAAAGCUACCCUGGGGAUAACAGGCUUAGCUCCCCCAAGAGUCCACAUCGACGGGGAGGUUUGGCACCUCGAUGUCGGCUCAUCACAUCCUGGGGCUGUAGUAGGUCCCAAGGGUUGGGCUGUUCGCCCAUUAAAGUGGUACGCGAGCUGGGUUCA